rnacentral:tRNA from 1 species
AGUAAGAUAAGCUAAAUUAAGCUAGUGGGUUCAUACCCCAAAUAUGAGUAUGCCUCUCUUACUA